rnacentral:rRNA from 1 species
UACGGAGGGUGCGAGCGUUGUUCGGAAUCACUGGGCGUAAAGCGCGUGUAGGCGGCCCACUAAGUCUGAUGUGAAAGCCCGGGGCUCACCCCCGGAAGUGCAUUGGAAACUGGUGGACUCGAGUCCCGGAGAGGAGAGUGGAAUUCCUGGUGUAGCGGUGAAAUGCGUAGAUAUCUGGAGGAACACCGGUGGCGAAGGCGGCAUCCUGGACCAACACUGACACUGAUGAGCGAAAGCCAGGGGAGCAAACGGG